rfam:Oryza meridionalis cultivar OR44 (W2112) chromosome 1, whole genome shotgun sequence.
AAUGAGUACAGUCUUGCACUGUUCAUGUCUAAUAUUUGCAUGUUCGUUUUAUUUGAAUUUUUUUAUGAUUGGUAUUUUUAUUAUUAUUAGAUGAUAAAAUAUGAAUAGUACUUUAUGUGUCACUAAUUUUUUUUAAUGUUUUCAAUAAUUUCUUAAAUAAGACGGGCGAUUAAACGUUGGACACGAAUAGCCACGACUGUACUUAUU